rnacentral:rRNA from 1 species
UACGUAGGGUGCAAGCGUUAAUCGGAAUUACUGGGCGUAAAGCGUGCGCAGGCGGUUUUGUAAGUCUGUCGUGAAAUCCCCCGGGCUCAACCUGGGAAUUGCGAUGGAGACUGCAAGGCUAGAAUCUGGCAGAGGGGGGUAGAAUUCCACGUGUAGCAGUGAAAUGCGUAGAGAUGUGGAGGAACACCGAUGGCGAAGGCAGCCCCCUGGGUCAAGAUUGACGCUCAUGCACGAAGGCGUGGGGAGCAAACAGG